rnacentral:rRNA from 1 species
GGGUUGUGAGGUUAAGCGACUAAGCGUACACGGUGGAUGCCCUGGCAGUCAGAGGCGAUGAAGGGCGUGCUAAUCUGCGAUAAGCGCCGGUAAGGUGAUAUGAACCGUUAUAACCGGCGAUACCCGAAUGGGGAAACCCAGUGUGACUCGUCACACUAUCAUUAACUGAAUCCAUAGGUUAAUGAGGCGAACCGGGGGAACUGAAACAUCUAAGUACCCCGAGGAAAAGAAAUCAACCGAGAUUCCCCCAGUAGCGGCGAGCGAACGGGGAGGAGCCCAGAGCCUGAAUCAGCAUGUGUGUUAGUGGAAGCGUCUGGAAAGGCGCGCGAUACAGGGUGACAGCCCCGUACACAAAAGCGCAUGUGCUGUGAGCUCGAUGAGUAGGGCGGGACACGUGGUAUCCUGUCUGAAUAUGGGGGGACCAUCCUCCAAGGCUAAAUACUCCUGACUGACCGAUAGUGAACCAGUACCGUGAGGGAAAGGCGAAAAGAACCCCGGCGAGGGGAGUGAAAAAGAACCUGAAACCGUGUACGUACAAGCAGUGGGAGCCCCACCACUAAGCCAGUGGUGAACUCCACAUACGCAUCCUUUGCUGAGGAUACGGUUAACGGAGCGAAAGCGACGUUCAACCGCAAAAGAAGCAGAGGGGGCUUAGUGGUGGGGUGACUGCGUACCUUUUGUAUAAUGGGUCAGCGACUUAUAUUCUGUAGCAAGGUUAACCGAAUAGGGGAGCCGGAGGGAAACCGAGUCUUAAUUGGGCGUUAAGUUGCAGGGUAUAGACCCGAAACCCGGUGAUCUAGCCAUGGGCAGGUUGAAGGUUGGGUAACACUAACUGGAGGACCGAACCGACUAAUGUUGAAAAAUUAGCGGAUGACCUGUGGCUGGGGGUGAAAGGCCAAUCAAACCGGGAGAUAGCUGGUUCUCCCCGAAAGCUAUUUAGGUAGCGCCUCGUGAAUUCAUCUCCGGGGGUAGAGCACUGUUUCGGCUAGGGGGCCAUCCCGGCUUACCAACCCGAUGCAAACUGCGAAUACCGGAGAAUGUUAUCACGGGAGACACACGGCGGGUGCUAACGUCCGUCGUGAAGAGGGAAACAACCCAGACCGCCAGCUAAGGUCCCAAAGUCAUGGUUAAGUGGGAAACGAUGUGGGAAGGCCCAGACAGCCAGGAUGUUGGCUUAGAAGCAGCCAUCAUUUAAAGAAAGCGUAAUAGCUCACUGGUCGAGUCGGCCUGCGCGGAAGAUGUAACGGGGCUAAACCAUGCACCGAAGCUGCGGCAGCGAACGUAUCACUUAAAGCGAUUCAGCGGGUUACGAUUGACGGAGCGAAGCGACGUCAAAGCGUAUACAAAGUCGAGUCGGUUUAAGGAUACGUUCGUUGGGUAGGGGAGCGUUCUGUAAGCCUGUGAAGGUGUGUCGUGAGGCAUGCUGGAGGUAUCAGAAGUGCGAAUGCUGACAUAAGUAACGAUAAAGCGGGUGAAAAGCCCGCUCGCCGGAAGACCAAGGGUUCCUGUCCAACGUUAAUCGGGGCAGGGUGAGUCGACCCCUAAGGCGAGGCCGAAAGGCGUAGUCGAUGGGAAACGGGUUAAUAUUCCCGUACUUGGUGUUACUGCGAAGGGGGGACGGAGAAGGCUAUGUUGGCCGGGCGACGGUUGUCCCGGUUUAAGCGUGUAGGYKKGUGUUCCAGGYAAAUCCGGUUCACUUUAACACUGAGGCGUGAUGACGAGGCACUACGGUGCUGAAGCAACAAAUGCCCUGCUUCCAGGAAAAGCCUCUAAGCAUCAGGUAACAUCAAAUCGUACCCCAAACCGACACAGGUGGUCAGGUAGAGAAUACCAAGGCGCUUGAGAGAACUCGGGUGAAGGAACUAGGCAAAAUGGUGCCGUAACUUCGGGAGAAGGCACGCUGACACGUAGGUGAAGUGAUUUACUCAUGGAGCUGAAGUCAGUCGAAGAUACCAGCUGGCUGCAACUGUUUAUUAAAAACACAGCACUGUGCAAACACGAAAGUGGACGUAUACGGUGUGACGCCUGCCCGGUGCCGGAAGGUUAAUUGAUGGGGUCAGCGCAAGCGAAGCUCCUGAUCGAAGCCCCGGUAAACGGCGGCCGUAACUAUAACGGUCCUAAGGUAGCGAAAUUCCUUGUCGGGUAAGUUCCGACCUGCACGAAUGGCGUAAUGAUGGCCAGGCUGUCUCCACCCGAGACUCAGUGAAAUUGAACUCGCUGUGAAGAUGCAGUGUACCCGCGGCAAGACGGAAAGACCCCGUGAACCUUUACUAUAGCUUGACACUGAACAUUGAGCCUUGAUGUGUAGGAUAGGUGGGAGGCUUUGAAGUGUGGACGCCAGUCUGCAUGGAGCCGACCUUGAAAUACCACCCUUUAAUGUUUGAUGUUCUAACGUGGACCCGUGAUCCGGGUUGCGGACAGUGUCUGGUGGGUAGUUUGACUGGGGCGGUCUCCUCCUAAAGAGUAACGGAGGAGCACGAAGGUUGGCUAAUCCUGGUCGGACAUCAGGAGGUUAGUGCAAUGGCAUAAGCCAGCUUGACUGCGAGCGUGACGGCGCGAGCAGGUGCGAAAGCAGGUCAUAGUGAUCCGGUGGUUCUGAAUGGAAGGGCCAUCGCUCAACGGAUAAAAGGUACUCCGGGGAUAACAGGCUGAUACCGCCCAAGAGUUCAUAUCGACGGCGGUGUUUGGCACCUCGAUGUCGGCUCAUCACAUCCUGGGGCUGAAGUAGGUCCCAAGGGUAUGGCUGUUCGCCAUUUAAAGUGGUACGCGAGCUGGGUUUAGAACGUCGUGAGACAGUUCGGUCCCUAUCUGCCGUGGGCGCUGGAGAACUGAGGGGGGCUGCUCCUAGUACGAGAGGACCGGAGUGGACGCAUCACUGGUGUUCGGGUUGUCAUGCCAAUGGCACUGCCCGGUAGCUAAAUGCGGAAGAGAUAAGUGCUGAAAGCAUCUAAGCACGAAACUUGCCCCGAGAUGAGUUCUCCCUGAGACUUUAAGUCUCCUGAAGGAACGUUGAAGACGACGACGUUGAUAGGCCGGGUGUGUAAGCGCAGCGAUGCGUUGAGCUAACCGGUACUAAUGAACCGUGAGGCUUAACCUUACAACGCCGAAG